GUAGGUGAACCUGCGGAAGGAUCAUUAACGAGUUUCUUUCCGGUAAUUCGGAAAACUCCCACCCUUGUGUAUUUUAGCUGAAAAGCAGCUUCGGCGGGCCGUCAGACCUUAGCGAUAUGGUCUUGACAUCGGCUCUGUGCGGAUUUGCGUCCGCCGAAGAACCAACUCUUACAAUUUUGAAGUCUGAUAAACAGAAAAUAAAUCAAAACUUUCAACAACGGAUCUCUUGGUUCUG
rnacentral:misc_RNA from 1 species